rnacentral:tRNA from 1 species
GGGUAUCGCCAAGCGGUAAGGCACCGGAUUCUGAUUCCGGCGUCACAGGUUCGAAUCCCGUCGUAGCCACCA